rnacentral:rRNA from 1 species
AUGAACGCUGGCGGCGUGCCUAAUACAUGCAAGUAGAACGCUGAAGGAGGAGCUUGCUCUUCUGGAUGCGUUGCGAACGGGUGAGUAACGCGUAGGUAACCUGCCUGGUAGCGGGGGAUAACUAUUGGAAACGAUAGCUAAUACCGCAUGACAACAGUUAUUGCAUGAUAACUGUUUAAAAGGGGCAACUGCUCCACUACCAGAUGGACCUGCGUUGUAUUAGCUAGUUGGUGAGGUAACGGCUCACCAAGGCGACGAUACAUAGCCGACCUGAGAGGGUGAUCGGCCACACUGGGACUGAGACACGGCCCAGACUCCUACGGGAGGCAGCAGUAGGGAAUCUUCGGCAAUGGACGGAAGUCUGACCGAGCAACGCCGCGUGAGUGAAGAAGGUUUUCGGAUCGUAAAGCUCUGUUGUAAGAGAAGAACGAGUGUGAGAGUGGAAAGUUCACACUGUGACGGUAUCUUACCAGAAAGGGACGGCUAACUACGUG